rnacentral:misc_RNA from 1 species
CACCAUUGAUUGUUAAGCAUAUAAUCCUUGGUAAUGUUUAUUUUGUACAGAAAUUGAUAAUGGAAUUGAAAUUGUCAUUGUUUGUCAUUGUUCAUUCUUGCCAUGUUCCAUAUCUGAAAGAUGUUUGAAGUUUUAAUCUCUCUGUCUAAAUAUUAUUUUCCCAAAAAGCUGAUUAUGGUAUUGCUCCAGUGUUCUGUCUCAUUAAGUUAAUUGACUGCAACUCUUGUAUAGUA